UCCGGUUUGUCACCGGCAGUCUCCUUAGAGUUCCCGCCAUUACGCGCUGGCAACUAAGGACAAGGGUUGCGCUCGUUACGGGACUUAACCCAACAUCUCACGACACGAGCUGACGACAGCCAUGCAGCACCUGUCACUUGGCUCCCGAAGGCACCAAAGCAUCUCUGCUAAGUUCCAAGGAUGUCAAGGCCUGGUAAGGUUCUUCGCGUUGCGUCGGAGGAAUUCCA
rnacentral:misc_RNA from 1 species